rnacentral:tRNA from 1 species
GGGGGUGUUCAGUGGUAGAGUGCGUGCUUAGCAUGCAUGAGGUCCUGGGUUCAGUCCCCAGUACCUCCA